rnacentral:lncRNA from 1 species
GAUUUAUAUUCAGAAAAUUUAUUUACUUUCAUAUUAUUAACAAAAAUCACUGUUGUGUUCCAAUCUUUGUUCUCUGAGGAUAAAUCGUCAGCGAAUCACUUCCGGCCGCUGCAAAUCACUUCCGGCCGCUGCAAAUCACUUCCGGCCGCUCUGUACCUCAGAGCCCAGGCAGCCUAGAGCUGACCGGUGGUCAUCAGGAAAGCAGAUGGUCUGGGAAGCCAUGCAAUUUCAUGCGUUGUCUAAUAAAACCGGAAUUGCUGACUCUGGUGAGCA